CAUUCACGGAGAGUUUGAUCCUGGCUCAGGACGAACGCUGGCGGCGUGCUUAACACAUGCAAGUCGAACGAUGAACCUCCUUCGGGAGGGGAUUAGUGGCGAACGGGUGAGUAACACGUGGGCAAUCUGCCCUGCACUCUGGGACAAGCCCUGGAAACGGGGUCUAAUACCGGAUAUGAGCCGGGACCGCAUGGUUCUGGCUGUAAAGCUCCGGCGGUGCAGGAUGAGCCCGCGGCCUAUCAGCUUGUUGGUGAGGUAACGGCUCACCAAGGCGACGACGGGUAGCCGGCCUGAGAGGGCGACCGGCCACACUGGGACUGAGACACGGCCCAGACUCCUACGGGAGGCAGCAGUGGGGAAUAUUGCACAAUGGGCGCAAGCCUGAUGCAGCGACGCCGCGUGAGGGAUGACGGCCUUCGGGUUGUAAACCUCUUUCAGCAGGGAAGAAGCGCAAGUGACGGUACCUGCAGAAGAAGCGCCGGCUAACUACGUGCCAGCAGCCGCGGUA
rnacentral:rRNA from 1 species